rnacentral:rRNA from 1 species
CCUACGGGGUGCACCAGUGGGGAAUAUUGCACAAUGGGCGCAAGCCUGAUGCAGCCAUGCCGCGUGUGUGAAGAAGGCCUUCGGGUUGUAAAGCACUUUCAGCGGGGAGGAAGGCGAUAAGGUUAAGAACCUUGUCGAUUGACGUUACCCGCAGAAGAAGCACCGGCUAACUCCGUGCCAGCAGCCGCGGUAAUACGGAGGGUGCAAGCGUUAAUCGGAAUUACUGGGCGUAAAGCGCACGCAGGCGGUCUGACAAGUCGGAUGUGAAAUCCCCGGGCUUAACCUGGGGACUGCAUUCGAAACUGGCAGGCUAGAGUCUUGUAGAGGGGGGUAGAAUUCCAGGUGUAGCGGUGAAAUGCGUAGAGAUCUGGAGGAAUACCGGUGGCGAAGGCGGCCCCCUGGACAAGACUGACGCUCAGGUGCGAAGGCGUGGGGAGCAAACAGGAUUAGAUACCCCAGUAGUC